rnacentral:rRNA from 1 species
GCAAGUCGAACGGCGGCACGGGUGCUUGCACCUGGUGGCGAGUGGCGAACGGGUGAGUAAUACAUCGGAACGUGCCUUAUCGUGGGGAAUAACGCAGCGAAAGCUGUGUUAAUACCGCAUACUCCCUAAGGGGGAAAGCGGGGGAUCGAAACACCACGCGCGAUUAGAGCGGCCGAUGUCUGAUUAGCUUGUUGGUGGGGUAAAAGCCCACCAAGGCGACGAUCAGUAGCUGGUCUGAGAGGACGAUC